AUUGAACGCUGGCGGCAUGCUUUACACAUGCAAGUCGAACGGUAACAGGUUAAGCUGACGAGUGGCGAACGGGUGAGUAAUGCAUCGGAACGUGCCCGAUCGUGGGGGAUAACGCAGCGAAAGCUGCGCUAAUACCGCAUACGAUCUGAGGAUGAAAGCGGGGGACCGUAAGGCCUCGCGCGAUCGGAGCGGCCGAUGUCAGAUUAGGUAGUUGGUGGGGUAAAGGCCCACCAAGCCGACGAUCUGUAGCUGGUCUGAGAGGACGACCAGCCAGACUGGGACUGAGCAACGGCCCAGACUCCUACGGGAGGCAGCAGUGGGGAAUUUUGGACAGUGGGCGAAAGCCUGAGCCAGCAAUGCCGCGUGCAGGAAGAAGGCCUUCGGGUUGUAAACUGCUUUUGUGCGGAGCGAAAAGGUCCUUUCUAAUACAAGGGGCUCAUGACGGUACCGUAAGAAUAAGCACCGGCUAACUACGUGCCAGCCGCCGCCGUAA
rnacentral:rRNA from 1 species